rnacentral:rRNA from 1 species
CUACGACGGGUACGGGUUGUGAGAGCAAGAGCCCGGAGAUGGAUUCUGAGACACGAAUCCAGGCCCUACGGGGUGCAGCAGGCGCGAAAACUUUACAAUGCUGGCAACAGCGAUAAGGGAACCUCGAGUGCCAGGUUACAAAUCUGGCUGUCGAGAUGCCUAAAAAGCAUUUCAUAGCAAGGGCCGGGCAAGACCGGUGCCAGCCGCCGCGGUAACACCGGCGGCUCGAGUGGUAACCGUUAUUAUUGGGUCUAAAGGGUCUGUAGCCGGCCGGAUAAGUCUCUUGAGAAAUCUGGCAGCUUAACUGUCAGGCUUUCAGGAGAUACUGUCUGGCUCGAGGCCGGGAGAGGUGAGAGGUACUUCAGGGGUAGGGGUGAAAUCUUGUAAUCCUUGAAGGACCACCAGUGGCGAAGGCGUCUCACCAGAACGGACCUGACGGCAAGGGACGAAAGCUAGGGGCACGAACCGGAUUAGAUACCCGGGUAGUCCUAGCCGUAAACGAUACUCGCUAGGUGUCGGCCACGGUGCGACCGUUGUCGGUGCCGUAGGGAAGCCG